AACAAGGAAGCAGCUUGCUGCUUCGCUGACGAGUGGCGGACGGGUGAGUAAUGUCUGGGAAACUGCCUGAUGGAGGGGGAUAACUACUGGAAACGGUAGCUAAUACCGCAUAACGUCGCAAGACCAAAGAGGGGGACCUUCGGGCCUCUUGCCAUCGGAUGUGCCCAGAUGGGAUUAGCUAGUAGGUGGGGUAACGGCUCACCUAGGCGACGAUCCCUAGCUGGUCUGAGAGGAUGACCAGCCACACUGGAACUGAGACACGGUCCAGACUCCUACGGGAGGCAGCAGUGGGGAAUAUUGCACAAUGGGCGCAAGCCUGAUGCAGCCAUGCCGCGUGUAUGAAGAAGGCCUUCGGGUUGUAAAGUACUUUCAGCGGGGAGGAAGGGAGUAAAGUUAAUACCUUUGCUCAUUGACGUUACCCGCAGAAGAAGCACCGGCUAACUCCGUGCCAGCAGCCGCGGUAAUACGGAGGGUGCAAGCGUUAAUCGGAAUUACUGGGCGUAAAGCGCACGCAGGCGGUUUGUUAAGUCAGAUGUGAAAUCCCCGGGCUCAACCUGGGAACUGCAUCUGAUACUGGCAAGCUUGAGUCUCGUAGAGGGGGGUAGAAUUCCAUGUG
rnacentral:rRNA from 1 species